AUCAUUGCACCGAAGGGCGACCAUCACAAGGCGGCAUUUUAUCCCCGCAAGGGACAUUAUGCCCACAUCGUCAUGCUAAUCUGCGACGAAGACAUCGGAAUCCUGCCGUGAACCACUGCGUCUGGGGUCAGACUACAACGCCCACGUCUGGUGGACAACGCGGCUGCGUGAGCGCAUCGAAGGGACCCGGAUUGCCGCGGCCGUACCUUCUGGCCUCUAGGUGACAGAGGCUACAAACCAGGACCAUGGGUCCUGACACCUCUCCGAGGCUGUCCUCUCAGAAACGGUGUUAAAAAGGUAAGUGCUACACUGCAC
rnacentral:lncRNA from 1 species